AUCUCUUGCAGGAGAUCCCUGCCUACCUGAGGCCUUCCAAAGGCCAUUCUAUGAUACCGUUCUGCAAAAAGAGAACCAACGCGUGGCAUUGGUCUGGGGCUUUUGAUUUACUGACCCCUGUACUCCUAUCACCUGCCCUAUGGUAGAUGGAGGCUUGCAAGAAGAUGAGUUUUCUUAUGGGAUGUGCGGUUUUCUGCCCUGAUGCUGAUGAAGCGGGGCUCUUGAUGUUGGUUCACGCAUCUCUGCUCUGCUGGAGAAAGGCAGCCUGGAAGCCAUCGAGAAGGCUCUUUUAAGAGCACUUUAAAGCAAAAACGGAGCUGGUGCUUGAAAAGCGGAGAGCACUAAUGAAGCUUUUUCAUCUUUGCUGGCUGCGUGUUUACAAGGUGGGGGUAAGGGGAAUCCUGCUGCGCGUAGCAAACGCAUGUAGGGCAAAGCAGUUAAUGGGAUGAAAAUGAAAUCUAUACACAGGACUUAAUUAAGAAGAUGGCUUUAUUCACGUUCCCGGAGCAAGACCCCCCAGGUCAGAGAUGUUGAAUGUUUGGUGGGUUGUGGUCCUGCACAGGCUGUGGUCUGUAGGCCUUAUUUAAAUGUUAUUGUUGUGUCUUCAGUGGAUAAUGGAAGGGGAAGGAGGUGAAGGAGGAAACAAGGAUGCAGUCUGAUGGCCCUCUGGCUUUAGGAGAUGCUGCUCAGUGUUGUGGAGACGUUUGGGUUUACACUGUGGCCCAGAAGCCCCAUCCAUGGUGUCUGCAGGUUUCCUGCAGGGACAGCAUCACAUCUCCUCCCUCUGAGCAAAGAGAGGUUUUGUGGGGUGCUGAGAGGGGAUAAAGAGGGUACAGCAGAAGAAUGUAGUGCUUCUGUUGGGAAGGAUGAGCUCUCCUGCUCCUGUGCCACUAGCAGAGCAAAAUGAGCCUGAUGUUUAUUUCUCAGUGAAGUGAGAAAUGCAGCCGUGCCUGAGAAUUAAUCCUUUAUUAAACUGACUGAAAUAGGAAUGGCAAAGACUUACUUCAGCAGAGAGAAAUAUUCUAAACAAUGUAUGGAGCUGCUUUGUUGCUGCCUACCGUUGGAUGGUUUAGAUUCAAGAAAACAACCAACCCAUCCCCACCAUGCCCUCUGACCGUGUCCCACAGUGCCACAUCUCCAUGGUUUUUAAGCACCUCCAGGGGCAGUGACUCCUGGAUGCUUUGGAGCUGCUCCUACAGUCUCAUCUGCCCAUACCAGAGGUACUGCCAACCACAAUGGGUUCAAACUCUCAGUGAACCAAGUCCUGCUCCCAUAGUAGUUCCAGUUGCUCUUACCUCUUUUCCAGCCAAAAAGAGACACAUCUUCACCAUGAUCGUGAUGACCCUUCUUGGCCAUCAGAAUGCCUCUGGUUCUGGUGGUACGGCUGUGAGCCCUUGGGCAAAUGGCCCCAAGGAGGGGCAGGGUUUCCAAUGACCCAAUUCACCAGCAUCCAUGAAUGUUUCUGUCCCACCCCAGCGAUGAUCCCUCUGACUUUCAUAUUCCAGGAGAUGAUAGCAAAUGGAUACUGAAUCCUCAUUCAUUGGCAGAGCGGCGCAUCCCUCCCCUGAAUGCUUUGAGCUGUAAUUACUGUGUUUAACUUGUAGAGAUGCCAGUACUGAAAAAGCUGGCUGUACAUCUGUAUUUUGCCAUGGAUUAGCUUGAAUGGUGGACACUAUCAUUAAGCAGGAACAUGGGGACUAGCCUCUUCCCUGCACCAGGGAAGAAAGCCCUUGUGUUGCUGUGUUCAUGGAAUGAUGCAGAGCUGGGAAGGGGGCAGUCCCUGCUGCAUCCAGCCUAAAGGUCCUGGGUUAAAUAAGGAGUGGGAAGAAACAUUUGAUCUGAUGAUCACACGGGCUCUUUAGAUGUUAAGGGGAACAUCAAAUAGCUGGACAUGAAAGGCAGGCAGCUCGUGCUGGAUGGCCCUGCCUCCACCCAGCCUGCCUCAGCAGGGCACUGAGCACCAGUGCCUCCUUAGU
ensembl:lncRNA